GACGAACGCUGGCGGCGUGCUUAACACAUGCAAGUCGUACGGUAAGGCCCUUUCUGGGGUACACGAGUGGCGAACGGGUGAGUAACACGUGAGUAACCUGCCCACAACUUUGUGAUAACUCUAUUAAACUGAUGCGAAUACUGGAUAUGUGCUCCUGCUGCAUGGUGGGUGUUGGAUAGCUCCGGGGGUUGUGGAUGGACUCGCGGCCUAUCAGCUUGUUGGUUGGGUAGGGGCCUACCAAGGCGGCGACGGGUAGCCGGCCUGAGAGGGUGAACGGCCACAUUGGGACUGAGAUAAGGCCCAGACUCCUACGGGAGGCAGCAGGGGGGAAUAUUGCACAAUGGGCGCAAGCCUGAUGCAGCAACGCCGCGGGCGGGAGGACGGCCUUCGGGUUGUAAAACGCUUUCAGCAGGGAAGAAGCUUUUUGUGACGGUACCUGCAGAAGAAGCACCGGCUAACUACGUG
rnacentral:rRNA from 1 species